rnacentral:rRNA from 1 species
AUUGAACGCUGGCGGCAGGCUUAACACAUGCAAGUCGAGCGAGCGGCGGACGGGUGAGUAAUGUCUGGGAAACUGCCUGCUGGAGGGGGAUAACUACUGGAAACGGUAGCUAAUAUCGCAUACCAUCAGAUGUGCCCAGAUGGGAUUAGCUAGUAGGUGGGGUAAUGGCUCACCUAGGCGACGAUCCCUAGCUGGUCUGAGAGGAUGACCGUCCACACGAGAACUGUGACACGGUCCAGACUACAACGGGAGGAAGCAGUGGAGAAUAUUGCAGAAGGGGCGCAAGCCUGAGGCAGCCAUGCCGCGUGUGUGAAGAAGGCCUUCGGGUUGUAAAGUACUGUCAGCGAGGAGGCGUUACUCGCAGAAGAAGCACCGGCUAACACCGUGCCAGCAGGCGCGGUAAUAC